GACGAACGCUGGCGGCGUGCUUAACACAUGCAAGUCGAACGGAAAGGCCCUGCUUUUGUGGGGUGCUCGAGUGGCGAACGGGUGAGUAACACGUGAGUAACCUGCCCUUGACUUUGGGAUAACUUCAGGAAACUGGGGCUAAUACCGGAUAGGAGCUCCUGCUGCAUGGUGGGGGUUGGAAAGUUUCGGCGGUUGGGGAUGGACUCGCGGCUUAUCAGCUUGUUGGUGGGGUUGUGGCUUACCAAGGCUUUGAAGGGUAGCCGGCCUGAGAGGGUGACCGGCCACAUGGGGACAGAGAAAGGGCCCAGACGCCUACGGGAGGCAGCGGUGGGGAAUAUUGCACAAUGGGCGGAAGCCUGAUGCAGCAACGCCGGGUGCGGGAUGACGGCCUUCGGGUUGUAAACCGCUUUCGCCUGUGACGAAGCGUGAGUGACGGUAAUGGGUAAAGAAGCACCGGCGAACUACGU
rnacentral:rRNA from 1 species